UAUUAAAUGUUUCGUUUUUUUUUUAUCAAUUACAUUUGAUUUCUGCGACAGUAACAAAAAUCAUGAAAAUUGAGCUAUUGUAUGAAGUAUAUAAAUUCCUACACUAUGUUCUGUCUUUGAUCUCUCUCUCAUUUCUCUUGAAAUUUGUACUCUUUUUGUUCUGUUGCCUCCUGUAGCUUGCUGGAAUCUGAUGAAGUAGAGCCGCUAAGUAUUCUUUGAAACCAUCGAGCAGAAGCUUUAGGUAUCCUUGUGAGAUUGUUCUUGUAGUCAACGUAGUAGAUCCCGAACCGGACCGUGUAUCCUGAGUUCCAUUCCCAAUUGUCUAGCAAUGACCACACAAAAUAUCCUCUUACAUCGCAUUCAUCAGUCCUGCAAAUUUACAUUUUUUUUUUUUAACUUAAAAGACUUUUGUGAAAGAAUGAAUCUUUUUGCAAAGUGAAACACUUUACCUUAUGGCAGCUGAUAAGUUUGAGAGGUGGGUUUCCAUACAUGUCUUUAAGAUACACUGCCAGUUUCCUGAUUCCCCAUGGGACAAUGUGUAGCCAGCUUGAUCCUGCCUGUUUCAAGUGUGGUAAGCAGCAGCAUGAGACAAGAGAAUGUUAUGAGCUACAACAUACGGUUCGACCGAUGACUUCCCCUCCUUACAGAACCAAUGUCCUAGAAGUGAGCACCUCCCUGGAGCUUGUAUCCCUGUGUCAUAGCCUUGGAUCGAUACCCCAUGAGGCUCAUUGAUAGUGAUCCAGUACUUCACUCUAUCUCCAAAUGCUUUGAAACAGGUGAAUGCAUAAUGCUCAAAAUCUUCCCUGCACCAUUUUUUUAGCUUAUGAUUUCGUAACCAUCUCACCAUAUCAAGAUUUCACAUUUUUAUCCAAAGAUCAUAUACUUACACGACUUCUCUGCUUAGCCAUCCUUCAUAUCUGUCUUCUAAAGCUUGUGGGAGAUCCCAGUGAUACAAUGUCACGUAAGGUUUGAUUCCUUUGGCUAAAAGAGCAUCUAUUAGGCUGUUAUAGUACUUAACUCCAUCUGGGUUCACUUCCCCUGUUCCAUCUGUUAAAACCUGAGUUUAAUAGACUCGUCGAAACUCGGUUAUAACAAUACUCUUAUCACAGCUAAAUGAACUAGACUUACUAGGGAAUAUUCUUGACCAAGAUAUAGAGAAUCUGUAAGCAUCCAUUCUCAGAUCUUUCAUCAGGUCUAUGUCACUCUGUGAUAGCAAAAAAACAAAGAAAGGUUCUUGCUUCUUAGAUUGUCUCAUUUGUGUCCUGUUGCGUCUUAUCUUAGAUUUGUUUGGAUGAGGUUGCUCUGUCAAGAAGCAACCCGACAUUUAUCUUCAAGCUGAAGUCAACAAAUGUGUUCUUUUUAGGUAAAACUUACAUGAAACCUGUGAUAUUGAUCGACCGUAGUAUCCGCAUUGCUGAAAUCCAGUAUCUUUCCUGUUGAUCAAGAACGAUACCAUUGACUUAAAUGAAAUCUUGAUUUUUCUGGGUUCUUUGUGACAUUUUCUGGGUUUGUUUCUUUGAUACCUGGUUUCUUCGUGAAAGUGUCCCAUAUGCUUUGUCCUUUGUUUCCUUCUUUCACAGCUCCUUCGAACUAAUUUUCUUGCAAGAAAAUGUUGCGAUUGUCAAAAAUCUUUUGAAAUCUUCUUUCUUUCUUGGAUCAGUUUGGAGAAGAAGAAUGUCACCUGGUAAGCUGAAGAGGCUGUUCCGAAUACAAACCCAUCUGGAAAAUCUGCUCUGCUGAUAGAUUCUGACGAAACAUGAUCAAGAGGCACGAAGAAGACGACCAAGAACGGAAGCAGAACCAGGACUAGUCUCAUUAAAGAUUCCAUCUUUGGGUCGCAUGAAUAGAGUAAGUGAGAGAGAGAGAUAAAGGGAAGCAAUUUUUUGGUGAAUGAAAGAUUUGGAGGCAAGUUUUUGUGUGUGUUUUUAAUUUGUAAAGUUGAAGAAGAAAGAGGAAGAGUGCAAAAGAAAAGCUCUCGUCUUUUGAAGGCUCUUCUUUGGUGUUGACAUUUGUUGUUGAUUUGUUCACUCUACUUUUACAGUACACGUUUCUUAUACUUGUGCCAAAAACUUUAAAAGAAAAGUGUACUCUUAAGAUAAAAAGUUUGUUACUAGAGACAUUGAUUCACCUAAUUAA